CAGCAUUAAUCGUGAUAAACUUAACUCCGCCCGUGAAUUCGGCAGCUACGACCUUUAUUUGUCGGAAAAGGCGGGCUCUUAAGGCGCAAGACUCCUACCCUUCCUCUUCGUGGGCGCUGCACUAGGCGCCGUGACCAAUCACAGGCCACGUCGCGUCGCCGCAGCCAAUCGGGAGAGCCUGGGGCAUUAAGACGAGCACUUGACGGCUCCUCCCUCUCUGUUCCAGAUCCCUGAUGCGGAGCUGUUGGGAUGGUUGGCCUUAGAUACGUGACCCCAGAGGAGCUUGAAUGAGAGUGUUAAUACGUCGACUUAAUUCAAGGAACCCUUUUCUACAAGAGCUUUUGGCCCUAUAGGGGAAUUAAGAAAACAAGGCAAGCAGGAUUCCAAAAUUUCUAAGCCAGAUUGCUGCUUUUCCCUCUUUUUGUUUUCUUAGUCCAGAUUCCAGCCCAAAGGAAUUACAUUCUUGGAGAUGUUGGAAAAAGAGUCCUGGGACUUCAAAGAUAAUCACUCCAAAUAUACAGGGGAGUGGGAGGAGGGCAAACUGGAGAGACCUCAUCUUCUGGACUCUCACUUAGCAAGCCUUGGUUCCUUGAUGGCUGUAGGCUGAAGAUUUCAGUACUUCCACAGGAGAGCCUCUCCAUAGGCGUCUUGAGAAUUCCCACAAUGUGACAACUGUCUUUCCUCAGAGGGAAUGAUCCAAGAGAGAAAUGCCUAGUCAACAUGAAUGAAAUUGAAGGGUGUUUUUGUCAGAUUUAUCUGAUAAGGAAUUUGAACAUUUGUACAGUAAGAUACAGGUAAUCCUUACUUUGCACCAUGCCAUUAUACAUGAAGAUUAGUUUUCACACUUUACACCAAUCCUACAACGCACUUGAAAUUUCAGUUAUAAUAGUAACAACUGUUGCAUAAGCUUUGUUGCUAGCUCUUUAUUCUACAACCGAUUAGUAAAGAUGUGCAUCAUGGUCAGUAACCAGUUACAACACAUCUUUCAAAGUCUCUUGGUGAUUGAUCACUGAACAUCUCUUAGUUCACAGAGUAAAGCAUGUAGUUAUGUGGCUUACUUGUUUCCCAGUGAUAAACCCGUGCAACAUUUUACAAAACUGGAUAAUCAGAAGAGGGAAUUGACAGGGCAGCAAAGAAACAAUGGAACUGGAAGUGAAAUUGGACUUGAAAUGGCAACAGCAUAGUGAAAACGAGACAAACCCAGGCCUCCAUAAAGCUACAGCACAAACCACAUUUUAAAAGUUCGAUGAAUAUAAAAACAAAGUAAAGUUGCUUUCACCGUUUUUUUAAGUUUAUACUAGGAACAGAAAGCCACUUACGGUUGAAAUGGAGUGCUUGCUUUUACUUUGAAUGGAGGACUGUAAUAAAAAACAAAUCCUAAUCAGUUUAGCUAGCAUGCAGGCCAGAGUUUUGAGGUUAUUUGCUACAUUGAAGGAAAAUGAUAAUUACAAGGAGACAACACUUUUUGCCAGUAAAGGCUGGUUUCAUCGUUCACAAGUUGGGAGUGCUUGCAUGGCUCAGUUGGUUAAAGCAUCAUUUGGAAGUCGGCGUGAAUGGAUUAAUGUUUCACUGACUAGUGAAGCUGCAAGUUCAGAUAAGGAUGCUACUGGGAAAUUGGCACCCAUAUUCCAAGAAUCACAGGCAGUCCUUGCUUUGCACAGUAGUACGAGACUGCUGUGUGAAAGCUUCACAGGAUUUGGCUGGAAUGUAAACAUCGUUCUAGAAGAUACAGACGACUGUGGGAAUGUUGACACUGCUGCCAUUCAGGAAGUAGUUCUGGAUAAACAGCCAGAAGAAUUGAGUGAAGGUGAACAUAGUUAUACAUGAAGAAAGCAGUUGUGUGUUGUAAAGGAUGAAUACAUUUCAUAAGUGAUUCAGGUGAAAAACCACAUUAAAGGAACUCUCAGAUGUUUCAUGACAUUGCACAAAGAAUAAAAUGAGAAGCAGAUCUAAACUCAGAAAGGAGGAUGACAAUUUGCCAAGGUAUAGAAAAGAUGCUUGCUCUGUAUCGCAAGUUAUAUGAGAAAACAAGUAAUGUCCAAACUACUCUUGAGACUUGUUUAUGAAUAAAAUGCUAUCAUUUUCAAUAUUUCUACUGUUGUGAAUAUUUUACUUUUUUAUAUUUAUAACCAAAGUUAGGAGUUUUUGACAAAUUUCGAGGUUACAGAACAAUCAGAUUGUUAAUACCAUAGAUUAAGAUUGCUUUGCAUAGUUUCCACGUCCAUAGUCCAAGUGAUAACUCCCUGCAUUUAAAACACAGAACUCUUUAUAUUUAACCAGAUAUAAACAUAUCAAGUCUAGGAAUAUACUUUUCCCUUACCAGUUAUGAUAUUUUUCAUACUGCCUUUGUAUGCUAUUAUAACAAGGCUUUGAAAUAAAAAUUUGUGUAAUA